rnacentral:rRNA from 1 species
UACGGAGGGUGCAAGCGUUAUCCGGAUUCACUGGGUUUAAAGGGUGCGUAGGUGGGCAAGUAAGUCAGUGGUGAAAUCUCCGGGCUUAACCCGGAAACUGCCAUUGAUACUAUUUGUCUUGAAUACUGUGGAGGUCAGCGGAAUAUGUCAUGUAGCGGUGAAAUGCUUAGAUAUGACAUAGAACACCAAUUGCGAAGGCAGCUCGUUUACACGAAUAUUGACUCUGAGGCACGGAAAGCGUGGGGAGCAAACAGG